CAGCCUUAGUGUCACUUCCUGUAUUUAGGACUACUGCUUCCUGGUUAAAUCCUUUUGCCCAGUUCUGGCCUGGCAGUGGGAUGUGCUCACCACAGAGAGAACCAGUGUACCUCCAACAAACACUACACAAACCAAAAGUAUAUACUGGGAAUAUUUGACUGAGAGUCAUUAACAACAACUUGGAUCUUAUGCUACCUUCAUUUUAUGAAGCCCUGGAUGUUUUUGCCCAGUGAUCCCCUCUGCAACCUGAGGGGAGAGCGGCCACUGCUUCCCUGCUGACUGACAGACCUCCACAGUGAUGCCUGGAGCUUGGCUGCAGCAGAAGAGGACCCAUGACCAUUCUCUUAUGCAACAGCUUCUUUAAUCACUAAACCGCCCUGCUGGCACGUGUAUCUGUACCUGAACAUCUCAGAGGGUUCCACAGUGGCCAGCCAGAAGCUGUAGGAG